GCAGGUGGAUGCAGCCAAGGAUGACUUGCCGGCCGGUGAACUCUUCCUCCUAUUGCGGCGGACCCAACCAUAUAUCCACCGCUCCGUACACUCUCAGGGUGACGAAAAGUUUGUAAGUUGGCGAGUUGUCCUUGGCUACAUCUUCCUGUCU
rnacentral:pre_miRNA from 1 species